rnacentral:ncRNA from 2 species
AAGUUAUCACGAAAGGCGGAGGGAAAGACCCAAUGAAACCUUAGCAACCCUUUAUUUUUAAAGAAGGUGCUACAUUCUACUUUAUACAACCAGUAUCAAAGAUAGAUAACAC